UUUAUUUGGAGAAAAGAGCCCCCAAUGUUUCUCAAGUUCAGGGUUUUUGUUACUCUCAUCAAACAUGGCAAAAAUAUAAGUUUCUAUAGGCUUUCCAGGCCUCUUUGGGGUUCCUUUCUUCACAUGUUGAACUAAGUUGUUGUUAUAAGUUCUUGCAUUAUCAACCGAUGUUCCUGUCCCUCCAGCCGUUGGCCAACCACUCUCUGAUACCACGAUUUCCAAAGAACCCCCUCCAGAUUUCUCCAAAGCAGCGUAAACAGUGUCAAGAAGGGCAUCGAAGAGGUUUUGGUAAUUCAGUGGUGGGUCAGAGACUAGUGGUGAUGGAGCUGUGAAAAGAGCAUAAUCAAGACGAAUGUCUCUUGUGUUAAGUGAGUAACUGAUGUAUGGAUACGAGUUAAGCAGUAAUGGAGCUUGGUUGUUCACUAAAAAGCGAAUGAUCGGAUCGAGAAGUGGUCUAUAGUCUCCCUUGAAAGAGCUUUUUGAGGGAGGGAAGGAACCAUCUGCUAUGACCCCAUUAUCAAUAGCGGUUGAAACUUUGAUACUUCCUAGUCCAGCUGAAUUGAGUGCGUUGCGAAUGUUUUGCAUGGCAGGGACUAGAAACUGUGCGAAUGAAUCUGAGGGCUUAACCUCAUUUCCUACCGCAAUGUAUCGAAACUUGACAUUGCCAAAAAUUUUUACAUUGCUUUGCACCCAUGCAUUUGCGUUGGCUUGACUGGAAGCAAUCCUUUGAAGAUCCGGAUUUGGAAGACCUAGCAUGAGCUCAAUGUUGGUGCCUCCAAGGGCUCGUAGAGCAUCUUGGUUUGGAUCAUAAAGUCGCAUUCUGCGAAUGCCCCUCUGGUUGUAGAGAGCUAUGACUUCUGAUGGUGGUGGUAAGUUACCAAGCAUUCCAUAGCAAACACCUAUCUGGGCACCUGUAUUGAAAUAUUGUGAUUAUUUAGUUAACCAUAGAUGUUGAGUUGACAGCUUUAGUAAAACUAUCAGAUAGCAUAAAAUGAACAUGAUUAUGAGUAUACCUGUUGUAUCUAGGCUAGCUAGUAGGAGCCCAAAGAGUAGCAUUAUGGAAAUCAUGGAAGGGCCUUUGCCAGCUAAAUUUGAUCUAGCCAUGCUUAAGGAAAUCACAAUAAACUAUGAAAGAGAGAUUGCAACUAUGUUUGCCAAACUCCCUUUCUUACCUUCCUCUUUAUAGAGAAAAUGUAUACACCUAGACUUGGUCUUGCUAAGAAUUUUCCCAUCCUUAAUGCCAAAUUCAUUAUAGUGUAGACUACUGUGGAACGUAUAUUUUCCACAAAUUGCCAAUGCUAUUGCUUGAACCAUUCAAUGCACAUCUAACAGCUCUUCAUCUGGGACCUUAUACAUAGCUUUGAAAAGUCUCAAGAGCUAUUAAUUAUCGUUUUGUGGCAGUCAGUUUCCUUUAAUAUAUAUCCAGGCAGACAAGUCGCAUCCUCUACGGCCUAAAUUUUUCACAACCACUACAAGUUGUUUCACAUAUCUGCAUCGUAUAAGAGCAUUUCUUAGGUAAUUAAUAAACGUUCAAGUUAAAAUUCACGUGUAAACUAGACAAUUUUCAUCCCUGCGCAGCACGGCAUUCUUUACUUAGUGUGAUUGUUUUAUGCUAGACAACACAGCACUAUAGAUGGUGUUAGGUUUGGAAUCAUUUGGAGCUUAUAAAAUCGAUACCGUUGUAAUCUAAGCCUUAAGACAGACGAAACAAAUUCUUGUAUAUUUUCUGCUGCUUGGCUCAUUUGAAGGUUUAUUCUUGCUGAGUUAUCAGCGACAGAAGCGUGUAAAAAUUCUGUGAUUCUAGCCGAAUUUUUACCCCAAAAAAAGGGUCUAGAAUUCAUAUUCUAGUUCCAAAUAGGAUAUUUAGUUUGUUCACAUCAAUUCGUGCUUCAUACCCCCUGUAUCAUAGCUGUCAUUUCCGAACCAAUUUUCCAUCCUUGUUUGACUACACCAGGAACAUGGUCACAUAGCAAGCCUCCAUGAAUUUUCAACAGCCCUCUCCUAGUGGGGUUAAUUAGUGCAUUUAUGGAUACCUAACUUAUAAUGGGCUUGACUGGAAACUUUUUGAACUUGGAUCGUUUUGUGGCGCAAAAUGAGGUGAUUCCUGUCCAUACAAGGGGCCGUUCCCUCUAAUAUCUUCCAAAUUUGCGGAUGUCAACUUCAGUGUGUGGAAAAAAGAAGAGGAAAAUGUCAUAAACCAACAAGAAUAUGGCAGUGCCGGUUUGUUUGAUUUGGAAAAAAAGUUUUUUUUUCUUUUAUUUUUUGCUUAUUUUUAGUCCUCCUACAAUCCUCUCUUGUACGUAUUGAGAACAUCUACCUCUCUACAGUACAAAAGAUUUAUCCCUCCUAAAAUCUUUAAGUGGUGAUGUCGUAGAUAUCACGGCGUUUUUUUCUUUAAAAAAAAAAAUAUUUAUCAUUUUAUUUUUAGAGAGAAUAAGUAUGAUUUAAAAAAACAUCAUCUAAUAUUAUGAUCAAUAAAAACUCUAACUGGUUAACCUAGAUUCUAUGACACUGGACUAAUUACACCAAAAAAAAAAAUAUCACAACUUAAACAUCCUACCUGAAAUAUGUUGCAUCAUUGGUUUUAUUUUAAAUUGCUAAGAAUUUAUUGUAUUAUAAUAUUGAUGGUUUGUAUAUAAUAUUCAUAACUUUAGUGUUAGUGAAUAAUAAGGUUCAGAAUAAUUUUCAAUUCUAGUGUGAAUAUUUUUAAAUCUACCAUUAGUGUAUAUUAAAAGUAUCUUUAACUUUAACAUUAGUAAAUAUGAAUGUUUCAGACUCUGGCAUUAUCAUGAACAUGUAAAUUUAAAUUUGAGUUGAAAUUUAUUUAUUUAUAUAUAUAUUAAUUUUUUUAAAAAAAAACUAUUUUAUUUGUUUUUAUUUUUCAAGACGGUGCCGUCUUAUAAGUACAUUGACCUUAAGCAUGGGUAAAUUUUUUUUUUUAUUUACAAAGAUAGGAUUGAGGGUUAUAUUAUUUUAAAAAUUUGGAUAUGUCAGGACGAUGAGUUUUUUAAUUUUAGUCAAGUUAUAAUGAGCUUAAUAAACUGGUUAAUAAGGUAUAACAAAUAUUUUUGAGGGUUUUUUUUUUUAAUUUUUUUUGUGAUAACACUAAUUUUUUUUUUUAAAUAUGCAAAAAGCAUUUUUUUUUUUAAUUUUAUGGAAACAAAAUGAUUCAAAGAGCUCAUGUUCCCUCCCAAUACAAAGAUAGAUCAUAUAAUCCCUGGUAGUUUAGAAUGGAGUUUUAAGUACUUUCGUCUAACCAAAGUGACAUCAAAUGCAGAGGAGCUCGGGGUUGGGGCGUCAGGUUGUUGACGCGUCGGUUAGAGAGAAGCUUCUGGUGUUUGCUGAAGUGUUGGUCACGGUGGGAACUCCUAGUGUUGUGGCAACAAAUGAUAUUGUGGUAGAGAAGGUUCAAAGACUGGCCAAGAAUGAGCUGCUUCUUCUUUUUUAUUUUUUACAAGGAUUUUAUUUUGGUUUUCCUCGUGAUUUUGUUUUUCUCCCUGCUAUGACAGUGGCCUUCCUUUUGCUUUUAUAGGGCCAAUCUGAAAUCUUUCCCACAAAAUCCGUCGCUUAUCUCCUAGGAUGGUGAUCUUGUGGAUGAAGAUAACUACAGCUCAAGUUUGUUCCACUUUUGAUGAGAAGAAAACACCAACAGUCCUGUAGUCUACGAUUUGGAUCGGAUUUAAUUUGAUUUGGUGGGAAGAUGGGGUCUAACCGAAGCCAUUUUGGUGGCUUCUUGGGCAGUUUUCCGUAGCUCCAGAGGAAGAAGAAAAUGAACAGUUACUGAAUAACGUAUCAUUCGGGUUCUUAGGUUAAAUUAGCUAUUUUUCAAUUUGCCUCCCUUGAAAUUUCGAAACCUUACAAUCAAGCCCAAGAUUGUCUUUAUCCUUUAGAAGUUUUUAAUUUCACCCUUGGAGUUAUGCAAUUGGACCCUUGGAUCUCUGCGCUACUGACAAUCAGUUCCCAACACUUCUGCCAUUCCAAUGUCUUUCUUCCAUUUUGCCUUGAGAUUUCACUCCCACAAAAAUAGAUUCAAUAUUUAUCUAUCAAAACCAUAAUUCAAAUCAACAAUCAAACAAGUUUUGAAAAGAAAAUGUGAAUUUGAUCGGUUGGUUAAUUAAAUACGUGAGUUGUAAUUUUGCCAAAGAAGUACAAGUGUAGAAAGUUUCUUCAUCAUUUACGUCAUCAGUUCUUUUACUUCUUCUGAUGAGAAGUCGCAGUCGCCUGCUGUCAUCGCCGCCUCCAUGGUGGUGGUUGUAGCGGUGGGUGAUGGUGAGCAGGUUUUAUUGCAAGAGGAACAAAAAGUGGCGCAGUGUUUUCUUAAAAUUAAAACGAGAGAAAUCAGAACCGCUUGGUCUGUGAUUUUUUCCUUAAUGAUUAUUAUUCCGCAGGCCCAUUAGUUUCGUCAAAGAAACCCAAAAAAAAAAAGAUGAAAGCCCCAUGAAUCAAUUAAAAUUUAGUUCUUUUUGGAAUGAUCUUCGUGAUACAUCCUUAUAUUAAUUUAAUUAUUUUAAAAAAUAAAUUUCUUGAAUGUGAUUAAGUCCGAAUUUUUUUGUGGAUAUAAAAAAAAAUAGUUUGUUUUUAUUUCAAGCUUGGAUAUCUUUAUUUCAUAAUUAAAUUAUCUUUCUCGUUAUAUCGCAGAUAAAUUAAUUUCUCUGAACAUGCUAUAUUUUAAUCACCAAAAGAUAACCAUAAUGUUGCAAAGAGUCUUUGACAAAGGGUAUCCAUUAAGAGGAAUAUUCUUGAUGUUCCAACCUUCUAUGCAUGUACGUAUGUCAACAUAAAGUGUAACGUAAAUUGCUGGGAAUUGAGCAUAUAUAUUGUGCUAUUGGUAUGAUCCUGAUCUGUGACAGGAAUUGCGCUAGAUUGUUUCAGCUUGCAUGUUAUAACUUCAGUGCCUCCUGCUGCUUAAGUCAGGGUCAUUUCUCACUUACAAAUUAAAAUCUAAACGUUUUGAUUGUAUUAAGGUUCAUUUGGUCUGAAGUUAUCCUUCAAAUCUCUUGAAUUUUGUUUUUCAGAGGAGAAAAUAUGUAUCUUAAACUUUGAUUCACCCCCUUCAGAUUGAUGGAAAUUGUCGAAAAAUUAGUUGCUUAAAUGUUGAUGAAAUAACUUUAAAUAUGAAUGAGUACUUUAAAUAUUAACUUUGAUCUAUAUCGUAAACUUUGAUUCACCCCUUCCACAUGCCCUGAUGGACAGGAAUAAUUAUGAUCAUUAAUUAGGACCUUGAGUGUAUGCCUGCAGAAUUCAAGAAACAAUCCUAAUAUUGCAUGAUACUUCGUAAACAUACAGUAACCUUGUGAGCAUCUUAUUGAUUACAUUUAACUAGACAUAGUUUUUCUUUUCCCUGCCUUUUUCAGUGGAUUACAGGCUUCUUAUUUAAUAUUCUCCAUACAAACUGGAGAGUAUCCUACACCACCAUUAUUCUACAGAGAAAACUUUUUGGCACUCUUCAGCGGAGAUUGAUGUUAUAUUUGGGCUGUUUAUUUGGAAGAAAGAGCCCCCAGUGUUUCUCAAGUUCAGGGUUUUUGUAAUUCUCAUCAAACAUGGAAAAAAUAUACGUUUCUAUGGGCUUUCCAGGCUUCUUUGGGCUUCCUCUCUUCACAUGUUGAACUAAGUUGUUGUUAUAAAUUCUUGCAUUAUCAACCGAUGUUCCUGUCCCUCCAGCCGUUGGCCAACCACUCUCUGAUACCACGAUAUCCAAAGAACCCCCUCCAGAUUUCUCCAAAGCAGCGUAAACAGUGUCAAGAAUGGCAUCGAAGAG
rnacentral:lncRNA from 1 species